UACGAAGGGGGCUAGCGUUGCUCGGAAUCACUGGGCGUAAAGCGCACGUAGGCGGGUCCUUAAGUCAGGGGUGAAAUCCUGGAGCUCAACUCCAGAACUGCCCUUGAUACUGAGGAUCUCGAGUUCGGGAGAGGUGAGUGGAACUGCGAGUGUAGAGGUGAAAUUCGUAGAUAUUCGCAAGAACACCAGUGGCGAAGGCGGCUCACUGGCCCGAUACUGACGCUGAGGUGCGAAAGCCAGGGGAGCAAACGGG
rnacentral:rRNA from 1 species